rnacentral:rRNA from 1 species
UACGUAGGGAGCAAGCGUUGUCCGGAAUCAUUGGGCGUAAAGCGCGCGUAGGUGGCUUCGUAAGUCCGUUGUGAAAGUCAAAGGCUCAACCUUUGAAAGCCGAUGGAUACUGUGGAGCUAGAGUACGGAAGAGGCGAGUGGAAUUCCUGGUGUAGCGGUGGAAUGCGCAGAUAUCAGGAGGAACACCAAUAGCGAAGGCAGCUCGCUGGGACGUUACUGACGCUGAGACGCGAAAGCGUGGGGAGCAAACAGG